rnacentral:rRNA from 1 species
AGCGAACGCUGGCGGCAGGCUUAACACAUGCAAGUCGAGCGGGCGUAGCAAUACGUCAGCGGCAGACGGGUGAGUAACGCGGGGAACAUACCUUUUGGUUCGGAACAACACAGGGAAACUUGUGCUAAUACCGGAUAAGCCCUUACGGGGAAAGAUUUAUCGCCGAAAGAUUGGCCCGCGUCUGAUUAGCUAGUUGGUGAGGUAAUGGCUCACCAAGGCGACGAUCAGUAGCUGGCUGAGAGGAUGAUCAGCCACAUUGGGACUGAGACACGGCCCAAACUCCUACGGGAGGCAGCAGUGGGGAAUAUUGGACAAUGGGCGCAAGCCUGAUCCAGCCAUGCCGCGUGAGUGAUGAAGGCCCUAGGGUUGUAAGCUCUUUUGUGCGGGAAGAUAAUGACGGUACCGCAAGAAUAAGCCCCGGCUAACUUCGUGCCAGCCGCCGCAGUAAU